GAUGAACGCUAGCUACAGGCUUAACACAUGCAAGUCGAGGGGCAGCGCAGUGUAGCAAUACAUGGGCGGCGACCGGCGCACGGGUGCGUAACGCGUAUCCAACCUUCCCGUUACUCUCGGAUAGCCUUCCGAAAGGGAGAUUAAUACGAGAUGGUGUUUGAAUUCCGCAUGUUAUUCAAACUAAAGAAUUCAUCGGUAACGGAUGGGGAGUGCGUGACAUUAGGUAGAUGGCGGGGUAACGGCCCACCAUGCCUACGAUGUCUAGGGGUUCUGAGAGGAAGGUCCCCCACACUGGAACUGAGACACGGUCCAGACUCCUACGGGAGGCAGCAGUGAGGAAUAUUGGUCAAUGGUCGGAAGACUGAACCAGCCAAGUAGCGUGAAGGAUGAAGGUUCUAUGGAUUGUAAACUUCUGUUGUUAGGGAAGAACGACCUAUGUAGGAAAUGACAUAGGAGUGACGGUACCUUUCAAGAAAGCUCCGGCUAACUACGUGCCAGCAGCCGAC
rnacentral:rRNA from 1 species